rnacentral:rRNA from 1 species
AGCUACCAUGCAAGUCGGACGGUAGCACAGAGAGCUUGGUCUCGGGUGAGAAGUGGGGGACAGGUGAGUAAUGUGUGGGGAUCUGCCCGAUAGAGGGGGAGAUCCCCUGUGAACGGUGGCUAAUACCGCAUAACGUCGCACGAGCCAAAAGGGGGACCUUCUGGCCUCUCUCUCUCUGAUGAGCCCCGAUGGGGUUAUCUCUUAGGGGGGGUAACGGCCCCCCUCUGCGACAAUACCUCUCUGGGGUGAGAGGAUGACCCCCCCCACUGUGACGAGAGAACACGGUUCCAAACUCCUCCAGGAGGCGGCAGUGGGGAAUAUUGCGCCAUGGGCGCACGCCUGAUGCAGCCAUGCGCCGUGUAUGAAAAAAGGCGUCUGGUUGUAAAGUACUUUCUGCGGGGAGGAAAGCGAUGUGGGUAAUAACCGCAUGAUUGACGUUUCCCGCAGAAAAAACACCGGCUAACUCCGUGCCCGCAGCCGCGGUAAUACGGAGGGUGCACGCGUUAAUCGGAAUUACUGGGCGUAAAGCGCACGCAGGCGGUCUGUGAAGUCAGAUAUGUAAUCCCCGGGCUUAACCUGGGAACUGCAUUUGAAACUGGGAGGCUUGAGUCUCGUAGAGAGGGGUAGAAUUUCAGGUGUAGCGGUGAAAUGCGUAGAGAUCUGGAGGAAUAUCGGUGGCGAAGGCGGCCCCCUGGACGAAGACUGACACUCUGGUGCGAAAGCGUGUGGGAGCAAACAGGAUUAGAUACCCUGGUAGUCCACGCCGUAUACGAUGUGGACUUGGAGGUUGUUGCUCUUGUGGAGUGGGUUCCGGAGCUCUCGCGUUAAGUCGACCGCCUGGGGAGUACGGGCGCACGGUGUAAACUCACAUGAAUUGUCAGGGGGCCCGCACACGCGGUGGAGCAUGUGGGUUAUUUCGAUGCAACGCGCAGAACCUUACCUACUCUUGACAUCCACAGACUUCUGCAGAGAUGCUUUUGUGCCUUUGGGAACCUGAGACAGGUGCUGCUAUGGCUGUCGUCUCAGCUCGUGUUGUGAAAUGUGGGGUUUAGUCUCGCAACAAGCGCACCCCUUAUUCUUUGUGGCCCGCAAUUUGGUCGGGAACUCUAAGAAAACUGCCGGUGAUUAACCGGAGAAAGUGUGGGAUUCGAUGUACGUCAAGUCAUCAGGGCCCUUACGAGUAGGGCUACACACGUGCUACAAUGGCGCAUACAAAGAGAAGCGACCUCGCGAGAGCAAGCGGACCUCAUAAAGUGCGUCGUAGUCCGGAUCGGAGUCUGCAACUCGACUCCGUGAAGUCGGAAUCGCUAGUAAUCGUGGAUCAGAAUGCCACGGUGAAUACGUUCCCGGGCCUUGUACACACCGCCCGUCACACCAUGGGAGUGGGUUGCAAAAGAAGUAGGUAGCUUAACCUUCGGGAGGGCGCUACCACUUUU